ACCCUGAGAAAUUAAAACGCAGCCCAACUGCUCUUUCCCCUUUGAUGAUGAGCAGUACUAGGGAGGGUGUGUCUUAUUCUCCAAGAAAACAACUUGUUCUGUAGGAGGGUCUGUCUGAAAACAAUUUGGAGGAGAGGAUGUCUUUUGGAGAGGACCCCUACUUCUGCACCCCAGGGAGGUGGGUUCACCUCUGGUUCCUGUGUCAUCAUGGCCUUGGGCUUUGGUCCUGAUGUUGGCUUCUGGUUCUGGACUGGUUCUCUGCACCUGGUCUGGUCUUUGUGGGGUUUCUGCACGGUGCCAUUUGUAUUUGUUUCUUCCCUGUGUGAUCCUUGGAUCUGGUGUUGGGUCUCGGGUGACAGCCGUGGUAGGCUGGUGGUCAUCUCUUUGAACUUUGACCCUUCCUCUAGCCCCCUCCCAACUCCUUACCAUAACCCCUCUACCCCCAUAUGCUAAGGAGCCUGCCUCGCUCAAUUUAUGUCCCCUUUAUUAUGAACCUAUCAGACGAAAAAAGUCUAGCAACAAUUCUAAACCAAAUAGAAUUUGAAAUGUUACACACUUUUACACUUGGAAAUAUGAGCUUUCAAUCUCAAAGAAGGCCAAUAGCCAUAUCCCUCAGGGGCGUAGCCAGGGUUAGAAAAAUAGUGAGGUCCUGGCUUCAGUUGCAGGGGUUCAGUUAUGUGGAGGGGGGGGGGGGGCACGCACAAGCACAAACAAAUAUCACACAUGGCGGAAACAAAGUGACAAGUCUCAACAGAAUUAAGCAUUUUCUCAUGUCAUGUCAGAGAAGUUCUCAACCACUGAUUUUGUAUACAGCUGUACUUAGUAUUUCUAAUUUAUUUUUUACGUCUACCGAAUUGCGGUGAGCUCCUAGCUGGCUACGGGCAUGGACAUGAGAUGACCAGGGUUAGAAUCCCUGGUCUGGGCAUUCUGCCUCAUUGAAGGAGUAUUUCCUACAGCCUCAGUGGUGGCGGUCGUGCCUCAUAUGUUGAAUCGAGUAAGGUGUGGCCUCACUCUGCUGCCGUCAGCCAUAUCGGCAGCAUGCUAGUCACAGCUCUUCAUCUGUUCAGUUUAUUCUUUUUGGGUCUGGCUGCCGUCCCGGUGCCCGUUCAACCCGGGGAUCUGACCCUCCAGCCGGGCGCUGCCAUCACGCUCACCUGCAGUCUGGCGUCCGACAUGUCGAGCUACACUAUGCUCUGGUACCGACAGCAAGUCUACGGUGAUCCCAUCGAGUUCAUCAUCAAAGAACACGACACCAGUCGGGGUCGCUUCAAAGCCACUCUGGACACAAACCAGAACCGCUUCUCGCUGGGAAUAAGCGAGUUGCAGGUGAACGACAGUGGGACGUUCUACUGCGCAGCCUAUCACCGCGACACGCCUGGGUGCAGCAGGCGUACACAUACCGUCGUUGAGCUACGUUCAUAGCGCUG